rnacentral:rRNA from 1 species
UAGGGAAUAUUGCGCAGUGGGCGAAAGCCUGACGCAGCGAUACCGCGUGAGUGAGGAAGGUCUUCGGAUUGUAAAACUCUGUCACGGUGGAAAAAUGGUUUACGUUCGAACAGGGCGUAGAUUUGAUGGUACACCGAGAGGAAGCACCGGCUGACUUCGUGCCAGCAGCCGCGGUAAUACGAAGGGUGCAAGCGUUGUUCGGAUUUAUUGGGCGUAAAGCGCGCGCAGGCGGAUGGUCAAGUCAGGUGUGAAAUCUCGGAGCUCAACUUCGAAAGUGCGCCUGAAACUAGCUAUCUAGAAUACCGGAGGGGGAGGGGGAAUUUCGCAUGUAGGGGUAAAAUCCGUAGAUAUGCGAAGGAACACCGGAGGCGAAGGCGCCUUCCUAGACGGUGAUUGACGCUGAGGCGCGAAAGCGUGGGGAGCAAACAGG